rnacentral:rRNA from 1 species
GACGUGCUAAUCUGCGAUAAGCGUCGGUAAGGUGAUAUGAACCGUUAUAACCGGCGAUUUCCGAAUGGGGAAACCCAGUGUGAUUCGUCACACUAUCAUUAACUGAAUCCAUAGGUUAAUGAGGCGAACCGGGGGAACUGAAACAUCUAAGUACCCCGAGGAAAAGAAAUCAACCGAGAUUCCCCCAGUAGCGGCGAGCGAACGGGGAGCAGCCCAGAGCCUGAAUCAGUGUGUGUGUUAGUGGAAGCGUCUGGAAAGGCGUGCGAUACAGGGUGACAGCCCCGUACACAAAAAUGCACAUACUGUGAGCUCGAUGAGUAGGGCGGGACACGUGGUAUCCUGUCUGAAUAUGGGGGGACCAUCCUCCAAGGCUAAAUACUCCUGACUGACCGAUAGUGAACCAGUACCGUGAGGGAAAGGCGAAAAGAACCCCGGCGAGGGGAGUGAAAAAGAACCUGAAACCGUGUACGUACAAGCAGUGGGAGCGCGCUUAGGCGUGUGACUGCGUACCUUUUGUAUAAUGGGUCAGCGACUUAUAUUCUGUAGCAAGGUUAACCGAAUAGGGGAGCCGAAGGGAAACCGAGUCUUAACUGGGCGUUAAGUUGCAGGGUAUAGACCCGAAACCCGGUGAUCUAGCCAUGGGCAGGUUGAAGGUUGGGUAACACUAACUGGAGGACCGAACCGACUAAUGUUGAAAAAUUAGCGGAUGACUUGUGGCUGGGGGUGAAAGGCCAAUCAAACCGGGAGAUAGCUGGUUCUCCCCGAAAGCUAUUUAGGUAGCGCCUCGUGAAUUCAUCUCCGGGGGUAGAGCACUGUUUCGGCAAGGGGGUCAUCCCGACUUACCAACCCGAUGCAAACUGCGAAUACCGGAGAAUGUUAUCACGGGAGACACACGGCGGGUGCUAACGUCCGUCGUGAAGAGGGAAACAACCCAGACCGCCAGCUAAGGUCCCAAAGUCAUGGUUAAGUGGGAAACGAUGUGGGAAGGCCCAGACAGCCAGGAUGUUGGCUUAGAAGCAGCCAUCAUUUAAAGAAAGCGUAAUAGCUCACUGGUCGAGUCGGCCUGCGCGGAAGAUGUAACGGGGCUAAACCAUGCACCGAAGCUGCGGCAGCGACGCUUAUGCGUUGUUGGGUAGGGGAGCGUUCUGUAAGCCUGUGAAGGUGUGCUGUGAGGUAUGCUGGAGGUAUCAGAAGUGCGAAUGCUGACAUAAGUAACGAUAAAGCGGGUGAAAAGCCCGCUCGCCGGAAGACCAAGGGUUCCUGUCCAACGUUAAUCGGGGCAGGGUGAGUCGACCCCUAAGGCGAGGCCGAAAGGCGUAGUCGAUGGGAAACAGGUUAAUAUUCCUGUACUUGGUGUUACUGCGAAGGGGGGACGGAGAAGGCUAUGUUGGCCGGGCGACGGUUGUCCCGGUUUAAGCGUGUAGGCUGGUUUUCCAGGCAAAUCCGGAAA